AGGAUGUAAAUGCUCUAAGAAACCCUCUUUCUCUCUCAUUUCUCUCUGCACUCUUUCACUUACCACUACCUCCAUCCACACCUACCUACACCACCACAAUCCACCCCACCACCCCUAACACCUCGCACCACCAUCCACCGCUGUCAUCCACCUCUACUUCUCUCUCUAUCUACCUUUUCUCCACCCCCACCACCACUCCCACCAGCCAGCACCGCUUCCACCAACCACCACUGCCACAACCAACGACCCCAUCUACCACAAAUCUCCACCACUGUCAACACCAUCGCCACCAUAAGCAACCACGGUCGUUCACCCUCUGACUGACCAGACUCCUAAACAUAUCUAAGCGACUGGACUCCUAAACAGAUCUGAAUGACCGAACUCCUAAACAUAUCGAUCAGACGGCACGUUUUUUUCGCUUUAAGAAACCGACUCAACCACCGGUUUCCUCCUCCUUAAAUAAUCUUUGUCGGACUCAAACCCUAGAUCUCUAUUAUAAAAUAUCGAUGUUGGUGCUCCUGAUUCGCGAUAUUAAAGAGGCGUUUCCGGUGAUUUGUUUUGAUACCUGCGUACGUUAAUGGAGGAAUUAGAAUCUGCUUUCAUUAUUUGAACUGUUUUACCCAAGAUAUGGAUGCUUUUAAUUUUUUGUUCAUUUUCUAGAAAGUAAUGGAUUGGUAUUUCAAUUUAUGGAACAUCGGCGGUUGUUCUCAGUGUGGUGGUGAUGAUGGUAGAGAGAGAGUUUCCUUGUUUAGAGAGAGAAAGAGAUUUGGUUGAUAGUAUUUUAUUUUUUGAGUAAAUUACAAGUUUUGUCGUUUAUGUUUACAUCAAAUUACAGGCGCUUUCCUU
rnacentral:lncRNA from 1 species